rnacentral:lncRNA from 1 species
AACAUGAACCUAACCUUAACCUAGCCUCAGGUUAUGGGUAGGCUAACCCUGACCUGAGCUGAACCUCACUGACCCUGUGACCUGUGACCCUGUGACCUCUGACCUGUGUUCCAGUAUGGAGCCGACGCCCUGGGAUCUGGAUCUGAGGACCAGGAGGUCUCGGAGCUGCUCAGGGGCCCCCCCGGUCCGCCCGGUCCACCCGGACCCCCUGGACAAGAUCCCCUGAACCGCGGCUCCGCCCCGGGCCCUGGAUCCCCUGGACCCCCUGGGGGGCGCGGCCAGGCAGGACCGCCAGGGACCCCAGGCCUCCCAGGAAGAGAUGGGGUAGCAGGUCUUCCUGCAGGUGUGGGAGAGAAGGGUGAGUCAGGACUCCCCGGGCCAGCAGGACCAAAGGGGGAGUGUGGAGCUGUGGGCGUGUCCGGCCCCCCCGGGGUCAGGGGCCCCCAUGGACCCAGCGGGCCCGCCGGCCGCCCUGGACCCCCAGGACCCCCCGGAGGCCCAGGGAGCAGGUUCUUCUUGGAGGUGGAGAUGGUUCCUCUAGACCAGAGUCAUUCAACAGGUUGA